AUUGAACGCUGGCGGCAUGCUUUACACAUGCAAGUCGAGCGCCCCGCAAGGGGAGCGGCAGACGGGAGAGUAACACGUGGGAACAUACCUUUUGGUUCGGAACAACUGAGGGAAACUUCAGCUAAUACCGGAUAAGCCCUUACGGGGAAAGAUUUAUCGCCGAAAGAUUGGCCCGCGUCUGAUUAGCUAGUUGGUGAGGUAACGGCUCACCAAGGCGACGAUCAGUAGCUGGUCUGAGAGGAUGAUCAGCCUCACUGGGACUGAGACACGGCCCAGACUCCUACGGGAGGCAGCAGUGGGGAAUAUUGGACAAUGGGCGCAAGCCUGAUCCAGCCAUGCCGCGUGAGUGAUGAAGGCCUUAGGGUUGUAAAGCUCUUUUAACGGGGAAGAUAAUGACGGUACCCGUAGAAUAAGCCCCGGCUAACUUCGUGCCAGCCGCCGCAGUAACAC
rnacentral:rRNA from 1 species